rnacentral:tRNA from 1 species
AAGGAUUUAAGUUAAUCAAACUAUUAACCUUCAAAGUUAAAAAUAAAUUUCAAUUUAAGCCUUA